rnacentral:misc_RNA from 1 species
CCUAAGAGAUACGUGUUAUGUGAAGUGCUCACACAGAUUGUCUGAUGAAGAACGAGCAGAGAUACCGGUAUAGGCUUGUAGCUCAGGUGGUUAGAGCGCACCCCUGAUAAGGGUGAGGUCGGUGGUUCAAGUCCACUCAGGCCUACCACUUUUCCUUUAUGCUGUGUUGUGAAGCAACUCGUUUACAUUAAGUAAACUUCGUUACUCCACGCCUUGCCUAAAGAAAAAGCUUCUUAUUAUAAGAAGAAAAAGGAGUGGUUAUACGGGUAUUAAAACAUUAUGGGGCUAUAGCUCAGCUGGGAGAGCGCCUGCCUUGCACGCAGGAGGUCAGCGGUUCGAUCCCGCUUAGCUCCACCAUAAUCUCUUGAAUAUAAAACAAUGAUUCAGAGUAUAUUAGGAAUAGUAUACUGUGAAUUAUUAUGCUCUUUAACAAUCUGGAACAAGCUGAAAAAUUGAAAACAAAUCAAUAUAUCAACGAGGUAUAUUGGUGAGUCUCUCAAAAUCUCAAACCUUAAAGUUUGUCACGCAAAGUUUAUCUUUGAAAAAGACACUUUCGGGUUGUGA